UACGUAGGGGCCAAGCGUUGUCCGGAUUUAUUGGGCGUAAAGGGCGCGUAGGCGGCCUGGCAAGUGGAAGGUGAAAUCCCUCGGCUUAACCGAGGAACUGCCCUCCAAACUGCUUGGCUUGAGACCGGGAGAGGUGAGUGGAAUUCCCAGUGUAGCGGUGAAAUGCGUAGAUAUUGGGAGGAACAUCGGUGGCGAAGGCGGCAUCCUGGACCGGUAUUGACGCUGAGGCGCGAAAGCCAGGGGGAGCAAACGGG
rnacentral:rRNA from 1 species